rnacentral:SRP_RNA from 1 species
AGAGGCUGGAGGACGGACGCUAUUCUUGUAAAUCGGGUCAGAUCUGGAAAGAAGCAGCCCUAGCAUUGUGAUGACGGGUCGUUUUUUCAGCCUCUCUU